AGACCAAAUUAACAUUCAAUCAUAAGCUGUGUCAGGCAUGCGACUGUAAAAGACUCGAGGAUUUAGAAAUUUAACAAUUGCAUCAAGCAACAGAUAAAUAAUAUGGAAAAGCUUCACUCUCGAAAACAAGCCCUAUAAAAAUCUAUAAACAGACAAAAUUGGAGAGCUCACAGUUCUCCAACUUUUGGUGCACUGAGCCAGAUGUUGGCAUCAAUAAGAAUAAAUGUUAGCCUGGAUUGUUUUAAGAAUGACUAAAGGACAGGUAUAAAAGGCAUCUUUGAGGUUUGCCAAAAAAUAAGGAAGGGGGAAGAUACUGCCUCCUGAGGCACGCAACGCAGCAUCAAAUCUCAUACUUUAUCUUAUCCAAAUAUUAGUAGAACUUGUACAGCUUCAAUGAAACAUUGUUAACUAACAAGUUUAUCAUAUAUAACUAAAUGAGGUCUUAUGCGCAAAAAGUACAUUGGAAUUCAAUCUCUGUUCAAAUAUUGAAAUGCACAUAGGCCCCUAAAAAUUAAACACUAACAUUAUUUCUGCGAUUAACCAUUAAUACUUUAACCUAUAUACGAUAUUGGUCUUAUGGCUGUGUCAUCCAUCCUGAUUUCACUUCUUUUGUAUGAUUUUUGCCUCCUUAUUAGUGAUUUUGUAAUGCCUUCAGCAGAAUGCUUCUUGGAAGGUCUUCUCAUCCCGACCCACACCCAUAUCUAAUUCCCUUUUAGUUUACGAAAAUCCUCUAUCUCCCCUCCCACAUAGAUUUAUUUUUGUUUUCAGCUCAUCAGUCUUCUGUUGUCAAUCUUCAUGGCGUUCUACAAGAGAUGCAAACAGAACAAAUACUUCUAUUGGGUCUCCUUCAACCAGGGUGGGUAACUAGAAGAAAAGAUUAAAACUUUGCAUGGCAGAACAAUCAAUGGUGCUUAUUAACGGCCGAAUUUCUGAUUACUUGGGGUAAAUUGCAGCACCAGCUUAAUAGGAUUUUCUGAUCCUCAUCGUUGCUGCAUCAUCAAAGUAGUAUUUGGAACCAAGCAGUUGGCUUUUCACCAUCCUAGGGAGAGUUGUCACGGACAACAAAUAAGGACUGAAAUCAAGUGCAGCAGAUAGAGAUCUUGACAAACCAAAAAUGAUUUAAGAUUAAGAGUGGGCGCAACACCGGCAACAGGAAUGAGUGGAAGCCCAUUUGGGAAUUCGAAAAUGCAACCAUGUACUUUUGGACACUGUAGUAUAGAGGAUGACAACACCAAAGAAGAGAGUGAAGAUCCUUUACAUGACCCAGUCCAUGAUGUCAAUAUGGAACAGAAGAUGGGUUAGUUCGUACAAUUGAUUUAAAAGAAGAGGAUAGAGAUUGAAAUUGUUGAUUUCCUAGCAAAAAUGCAUGCUAAAGCCUACCUCGAUAGAUUGGAGAAGAGCUCAAGGUAAUCCAGAGCUGGAAGAAUAAUAUGAAAAGUUCUUGUCGUAAGGCAUAAGAGACGAGUUUGGCAACAGAAUGACUAUGAAAGUGGAGUAACUAAAUGAAACAAAAAUGCUAUGCUUAUGGUUUAUUUUCUUGACCUGAUCUAUUAUUUUAUUUCCCACAAUCAUGACUCAAGUUUGUAGUUUGCUUAAAUUUCAAAUUACAUUUAUUUUAUGGUUUAGUAGAUUGUGAUAAGAAAAUGAGCCACUUAAGUGUAAAAGGCAUUUUGUUAUUUUUUGUUAGCAUGAGAAUUUAUGGCGCUUAGGAACAGCUCUCGAAGGGCUGACUGCGGUAACUUAUAUUCCUCAUUUUACUGCUGAAUCGAAAAGUAACAUCCAAGGUUCUUU